rnacentral:rRNA from 1 species
GACGAACGCUGGCGGCGUGCUUAACACAUGCAAGUCGAACGAAGUGGCGAACGGGUGAGUAACGCGUAAUCAACCUGCCCUUCAGUGGGGGACAACAGUUGGAAACGACUGCUAAUACCGCAUACUGAAGGCGGGGAUUGCGUCGGAUUGGCUAGUUGGUGGGGUAACGGCCCACCAAGGAGAUGAUCAGUAGCCGGGUUGGGAGGAUGAACGGCCACAUUGGGACUGAGAAACGGCCCAGACUCCUACGGGAGGCAGCAGUUGGGAAUCUUCCGAAAUGGACGAAAGUCUGACGGAGCAACGCCGCGUGAGUGAUGACGGCUUUCGGGUUGUAAAGCUCUGUUAAUCGGGACGCGGUACCGGAAGAGAAAGCCACGGCUAACUACGUGCCAGCAGCCGCGGUAAUAC